GCGCCCGUAGCUCAGCUGGAUAGAGCGUCUGACUUCGGAUCAGAAGGCCGGGGGUUCGAGUCCUCCCGGGCGUA
rnacentral:tRNA from 1 species